UACCACAACUUUGUUAAACCGUUUACUGUUGGUAUACUAAGGCAUUUGUCUAAACCUUAAAACAACACAAUUAAAUCUCAAUUCCCUAAAAGAACACAAUUGAGAAGUCUCACAACAGAGGAAAAAAAAACAAUUUGACAUCUUACAUUGAACCAAAAUCACAAUUGCAUUCACUCCAAAAUACAAAUUCGCUUUUCAAAUUGAAUCAAAUGUCCCGGUUUGAGUACAAAAUAUUGUGGGUCGAAGCUUAUCAAUGCCCAUUCUAUGUCUCUAAUCUUUCAGAUGUACGAUUUUCCAAAUCCAGUACGAAUCCAGGUAGGCCCUACUACAAGUGCAGGAAAUGCAACUCCUUCAGAUGGGUAGAAGAGGAAAACAUAAUAUGGUUUAUUGUUUUGAUCCCGACGCGACUCGUUGAGGCUGGGCUAGGUCCUAUAGCAAACUCGGUGGUGGAAAUUCGGGGGAAUUUAACUACUAUCAAACCCAUGCUGCUGUCAACGAUGUUCAUUGUUUUUGUUUUGAUGUGUUUUCGUAUUUAGAGAAUAUUAUAUGGAUUUAGAAAUAUGUACUAAAUUGCAGUUUUAAACAUUAUCUUCUGAAUUUGAAAGCGUAUGAUUGUGAAUUUAAGUAUUAUGAGAUUUUAUAUCAGUUGACAUUAUAUUGUUUGUGUUUCGGCUUAUUAUGUUGGUACUUGUUAAUCACUGUCUUAUUUGUUGUUAUACUGAUAACCAUUGUUGAUAUGCAUAGUUUGGUCAGAUGUAGAACAUACUUACUCAGGGACUCAAGGGUAUAAAUAGAAUGAACAUCUCUGUUUGGUUAUUUCUUUAUUUUUAGACAUUGGGAUAACGCGUGAAUCUGGGUUUUAGCUUCUUCGUUCCUCCCUCAUAUAACCUCGGUUCUUGCAGGCUCGCAUUCUGUUGGUGAAUUUACGAGAUAAGAUGAAGGCAGGCCCAAUUGGUGACCGGAAACACAAUCCGGGAAACCUCAGGAAAUUGAUGCUUCAAAACAGAGCCAUUGAGAAGCAAAGGCAGAGACAACUGAGACGCGAAGCAGCUGCUGCAAACAUCAACAAAGGCGGGGUAAUUGUUAAUUCAGCUGAAGAGUGUACACUGAAUUAUGGGUUGGACAAUAUCCAUAGUGUUCAACCAGAAGAUGGCAAUAACAAUGAAGGGAUCCCUCUUCUUAGACUAAUUGAUGAGUUUAAGUUGUUCAUCAACCACAAGAUGGAAACUCAAUGUACUGGAAAACAGGCUGCACAGAAUAAGGACAUUUUGAGUGAAGGGGAGCAGGUCCCGACACAAGAUGGUGUGGUGAGGAGUAUGAAGACUCAUUGGGAGAAGACUAAGAAGUAACCACAUUUGGUUUGUAAGGUUGAUGCUUUUUCUAAAUUGGUCAGCAAGUUUGAUGAGUCUAGGAGGGAGGCUGUGAAAUCUAUGGGGUUUGAUGGCUUGCUUGAUCUGAAAUUGACUCAUUUACCCUGUCAGUUUUGUUACUGGCUGAUGACGAGGAUUUGUGGUGAUAGGACAUUGUUGUUUGGCGAUGGGCAAUUACUGCCCUUAUGUCCAGAACAAAUACACUCUGUACUUGGUAUUCCUAUGGGUUCUAAGCCUGUUCCUAAGACUGUCGACGCCGGCAACACUGAAGUGGUGCGUAAGGUUCGUCAGGUUGCUGCUCGAUUUGGCGAUAGUAAAAGUGAUGGUAUCCUUGUCAGUGCAGCAGCUGAUGCUUUGCUGACCUUCAAGAAAGAUGAGGAAGACGAUAAGGUGCUGGAGUUGGUCACUGCACAACAAAAGGAAUACUUCAAGGACACGUUCCUAGUAGUUGCUCUUGGUCACUUAUUAUACACAACGACAAACGAAUUGAAUCUUGCAUCUUCUUUCCUUCCCUGCUAAAGUCUUGGUGGGAAAAAAAUGCGCAGUACGACUGGUGUUCUUUCAUAUUUUACUGGGUUCUUGAGACGGCAAAAGGGUUUCAAUCAUGUUUUCAAAAAAAUGGGUACCGCGCUGGUUGUGGUGGUUGUAUCCUGUUUCUGCUGGUCUGUUGUCGUUAUCUAAAUUCAAGUGUUCUACUUGGAUCAUUUGAAGCGUUUUCCUGUAAAAUGGGGUGUCUACCCAAGACUGGUUGUUUGGACCCAAGACAAAGUCAAAAAAAUGUUGUGUUGCAGGACAAGAAGGGCGAUGAUUUGUAUGGUGACAUGCUGUCACUGAAUAUUGCGUAUGAGGAGUAUCACCCAUUGAUUCCUAGAGAAUGUGACCACAAGACCACGGUAGAUCGAGUUGCUGAAAAGGUUAAGGGGCCAUUGUGAAUGAAGCUGAUGACCCAUUGAUCUGUUGGAAGAGACACUAUUAGAAGAGACCGUGUCUCCAUCUUUGUAAUUUAGGCAAUGCAUUCUCUUAAAUUGGUUGUUGUUGGUUUAACUUGAACACAUAUUGGUAUUUGAAUGGGACUCUAUCCCAGUUGGUUUAUGUAUGCCAUUUGUUGGUUGACAUAUUGAAACGAUGACCCCUGAAUGGUUUAUUGUACUAAAAAACAUACC